CCCCUCUCAGGGUUGCACCUGGAGAGUUUCCAGUACUCCAACAGUUUCGGCUACAGAGGGAGAGUCAAGCAGAGGCUUACCCAUUCCGUUCCUAGCUUGGGCAGUGGCUAGCGAAUAGAAGGCAAUCUGCUACAAGU